rnacentral:tRNA from 1 species
AAGAAAGUGGCAGAGUGGUUAUGCAGUUGGCUUGAAACCAGAAUAUGGGGGUUCGAUUCCUUCCUUUCUCG